AUUUGAUCGUUAAGGAAACAUAGCU
rnacentral:sRNA from 1 species